UGCCUAUCCAAGCUCUCCAACUGUGGUUGU
rnacentral:piRNA from 1 species